AUGAAUUGGCUUAGUUGGAACUGUCGUGGGGCGGGGAACCCCUUGACAGUUCGUGAUCUCGCGUCUCUUGUUAGGACGCAUUCCCCAAGUCUUGUUUUCUUGUGUGAGACUAGGCAAAAUAAAGAUAAGAUGUAUCGCCUUAGAAACAGGUUAGGUCUGUCCGGUUUUGAAGCUGUCAGUUGUAAUGGUCGUAGUGGUGGUUUAGCACUUUUUUGGCAUGAGUCUAUGUACGUCGAUGUUCAGGAAGCCAAUGAAAGAUCGAUUGAUGUGUACCUUCGUGCCUCGGCUGAUGCACCACUUUGGCGGGCUACAUUUGUGUACGGAGAACCGCGUGUGGAGAACCGGCACCUUAUGUGGAACAAACUCAGGAGUCUUCAUGCACAAAGCUCGCUGCCACGGAUUGUUAUUGGCGAUUUUAAUGAAGCUAUGCGGGACUUCGAGCACCAAUCGGAGACCCCGAGAUCGCCAGGCCAGAUGCUUAAUUUCCGUGACGCUCUAGAGGCUUGUGAACUGACUGAUAUUGGUUUUACAGGUCACCCCUUCACAUAUGAUAAUAGAAGAAGCAGAAGGGCAAAUGUCCAGGUGAGGCUUGACAGAGCCGUGGCUUCAAAUGGCUGGAGGGACAUGUUCGUGCAUGCGUCGGUGACACACUUAGUCUCGCCGGCGUCGGACCACUGCCCUCUACUACUCAAAUGCUCUCUGGAGGAGGACCGGUGA
rnacentral:rRNA from 1 species